rnacentral:rRNA from 1 species
UACAGAGGUCUCGAGCGUUGUUCGGAUUCAUUGGGCGUAAAGGGCGCGUAGGCGGCGGGGUAAGUCUGGUGUGAAAUCUCGGAGCUCAACUCCGAAAUUGCACUGGAUACUGCUCUGCUAGAGGGCUGGAGAGGAGAUCGGAAUUCACGGUGUAGCAGUGAAAUGCGUAGAUAUCGUGAGGAAGACCAGUGGCGAAGGCGGAUCUCUGGACAGAUCCUGACGCUGAGGCGCGAAGGCUAGGGGAGCAAACGGG